rnacentral:lncRNA from 1 species
UUUUUUUUUUUUUUUUUGAAAAGGAAUCCUAUUUGCGGGGACACGACAGAGCUCUAGGAACUGGGCAGGUGGGAGAGGGCUCAGGCCCAGGGUGUUCAUUCACUGCAUUCUCUUUGGUCCUUCUCAGGAGGAGCCAUGCAGAAGGGGAAUCUGGGUCUGCAGGUGUCAUGUGAUUUGUUUUCCUGCUCGGACCAUAUUUGAUUCUUCUUUCUGGGGGAUCUGUACAGAAAAACAACAAAGAGAACACUUCAAGGAAACUGCAAGACUGUCAUGUUGCAGUGACAAUUGCAGUGUAAUAGGAAAUCAUUUAUGUAAGUUACGGUGCCCUCUGAAUGGAGCUUGUCAAAAAUGUGGCUACAGCUUCUCAAGGCCUAUUUUUUUUCCUCUCCUGCAAAAUAAUCCUGAGGUUUUCAUUUUCAGAGCAAUUGAAGAAGUAUUAUGUGCCGGGCAGGGAAUAGGGAGACCCAGCUUCUAAUCCUAGGCCUGCUGACUCUCUUCCAGCGAGUUCCCUCUCUGGGCUAGGCCUCAAUUUCUCUUCCUUUAUAGCUAGAGUAAGCCCUUGCUGUUCCCGAGCUGAAGCUCAGGAGGCGAAGAUGAAGGUGGCCAUCCGUAUUAAAGGACCAGGUGAGCAGCAGAAGAUUGUAUUCGCAUGCAAGGUCAGAGAAAAUCAGGAAGGAGAGAGAAUGAAGUCUAAGCUCUGGCCUCUCACCAUUACACUCGAACCAGCUCCUGUGAGCUUGCUGAGCUGAGCUGAUGAAAGCAACCUGCAGAGUCUGAAAGGAGGAUGUACAUGCAAAAGCAGGAGACCAGGGGAGGGGAUGGUUACUGCAGGAGUGCAGAGGCCCAGGAAGGAGGGGACACCUCAUUCUAGUAGUAGUAGUUUAGGUCAGGACUAUGCAGAAAGAAAAGGGGUUGUGAUUUCUCUUGAUGUCCACCUUUCACUUUGCUUUAUUUGUAUAUAUUUACGUGUUUUAGUUGGAGAGGUAGAUGUGAUGUUAAGUAAUGUUUACCCAACAAGUCGAUUGAUCAGGCAGGCAGUUCAGUCAAUAUUUACUGAAUGCCUACUAUGUGCUAUGACUGUGCAAGAGCUUGGUUGUAUGGAAGCAAAAUGGUUUCCGUCGUUGGGGAGCUCACAGCUUGGUGUGGUCACAGCGCCCUUGUCUGUCUAUUAAACCCAACAUACAAGGGAGAUCUGUGUACACAGACGGCAUCCUGAAAAUAUGCAAGAUUUUCAUAUAACUGGGUGCACUGGGUGCACCAUCCAGUUAUCAAAGGCAGGACAUGGAGAAGGUGUCCUGGAGAAGGACAAGGGGUGCGUGGCAUUGGCCGCGUGAACCUAUGAGGAAGAGGUACCAGGUACAGGAAGUAGCAUCGUCAAGGCAUGGGGGUGAACUCACACGGCACUAUCCCCCUGCAGUAGUGCAAGGCAGGGGUGGGAGGUGGGGCACGAUGCAAACAUGGGUGCAGCCUGGACCAGCACCAGUGUCCUGUAGGCAGUGGCAAGGCCUUAGGGAUUCUCAGGUAAGAGAAGCAAGGUUUUCCUGGUAGAAAAAUCACUGUGGGGGCAGCAAAGAGAAAGAAUUGGAGGUGGAAGUGUGAGAGUAGUUAUGGGGGCACAAGGGAGGGCUGAUCAAAGGCAGUGGCAGAGGGGAGAAAUGGACGAAUCCGAGAGGCACAUAGGAGUUUGAAUUGACAGAUGGGGUAUGGCAGUGAGGCAGUAGGGAGCAAGCAGAGGGGGCUAUGGGAGGCCUCGUAGGUGGGAGGUGACACCAUUUCCAGACCCACACUUGGUUGAGGGGAAGUGGUGAGGAAGGAGGAUGUGUUGUUUUCUGGACAUGGUGGAUUGAGAUGCAUAUGGGACUUUGGGUAGAAUCGAGAAGGAGGCCAGCAGACAUAGGACCCUUGUUCCCUGGCAGCUUCAUCUCAGUGCCCCCAUGUAGGGUGCUACUCACCCCAGUUUUAUACUUGCUUUACUUGGGGAUCUGCUGGAAGCUUGGUAAGGAAGCAAGAAGACACAUAUAUAUGGAUUUUUGCAUUUUCCAAGUGGUUCAUGGUUCAAAUUAAACAUACUCUCUGGCACUUUUUGCAUGAGAUUGUUCUGAAAACCCCCAGGUCCUCACUUUGCCAUGGGAGAUCUCCACUCGUUUCCAGUGGGAAAACAGUCGUACCUGGAGGCUGAGUCCUACACAAAAUAUUACCAAGCAAGCUCAGGAUAAAGGCAGAAUUUGGGUGACGGAGAAUGACUAGGCCUUUGUGCUGGGCAACACUGGUUCCCUUUCUUGGGGUGUGCACCUCAUUUUUAAUGUGUACACACUCAAAACAGCAGGAGCUGCUACAAUGAGCUCCACCAGGAGCAGAGAUGGCAAAGAAAAUUUUGACCUACUGUCAAAUAAAUAAAAUCUUAAAAAAUAAAAGAAAAUGCUGACCUUGCCCUUCAGAAAUCAUGUCUUGUUUGUCUGCACAUCGGAGCGGUCUGUACGGGUCCGGCCCACAGGUGGAUAGGUUUUGCUUGGCCCGAAGAAUGUACAGUUGGUUCACUUGGUUCAUGAGAAGCAGUGCUGUUAUUCGGAUGCUGUUAGGUGUGGCGGCCCCUCUCUGGGGAGCCGCAGAUUCCACUCCCGGUCGUCACACCUUUGCCUCACACGUUUGUGGUGAAGGUACUUGAAUUAAAAUACCAGCAGCCUAGGACCUAGUGGCUACUCCAGCGGUGAUGCUGGCCCCUCCCUCCGUCCCCUCCCUCAUGGAGAAAAUGAGCUGAGGUAUCAGCGUGGAGCACUUUGCAUUCUACGGGGAAGCUCUGUGAUUCUGGAGCCUUACUCAUCACAGCAGAUGCAGAAGGGGCUGGUGGUGAACACGUUAAUCUCUCGGUGCUCUAUCAGCAUGUUUGUACUAUGGAAUCUUUAGAACACAGGCCAUUUAGUUUGAGCAGAGUGUGGAGAGAAAAUACGCAACUCCUUCAAGCCUACCCAGACCCUUUCAACCCCCUGCCUCUGCCCCGGCUCCUCUGUGCUGCUGUGGAAGGCCUCCAGGCUUGUGGGGAAGGGGAAGUAGUGGUCCCCGGACGGGAUGCGGUGUCCAAGUAGCAUGGACACAGUUUCCACUGGGCCUGCAAAAUAGGAACUCGGAGCUUCCAGCCCCAAAGAGUGUCUUCAACUGCAAAUUGGCAGCUCGGUUUCAAGUGAAACAGUGCAUCUCCUCUCUUCUCCGGAUGGCUCCUUGGUGUCUCAGAGCUGCUAAUAAAAGUGGCUGGUGGACUCUGAUACGGAAUGGGAACGGGACCCGGGUAGGUAGUUUGAGCUCUAACCUUCCGAGGGCCCCACAGAGAGCACGGGCUUUCUGCGCUUCCCUCCUCCUGCCCCGGCGGCCAGCCAUCCUGCAUUUUGUUGGCCCCACUCAGUACAGAAUAGAUUCACAGAGCUGCACUUUCUGUCUCGGGGAACUCGGCAGUUUCCCCCAGUUUAUCUGGUGGCAACUUAUUUCCCUAGUAGGGGGCAGAGAGCUGGGCCUGGAGUCCUAAGAAGGGAAAUGAUCUAACCACAUUGAUCUGUGGUUGGGACCAAAAUAAAGUUGUUGACACCACUCUGGGCUGUGCUUGUGGACGGUGGCCUAUGCCAGUGGAGGAGGGGGCCGUGUUCAGGAAUGGGGAGCCGAGUCCUCUCAAAGGCUGCCCCAGAGCCUGAGAGACAAAGGUAGGGGACCCCCACUGCUUCUCCUUUUGGAUUUUGCUGUAGAGACUUCCCAAGGGCCUACUGGUUAUCAGAUGUCCUCCAAGCGGCUUGCUCAGAGGAGAAGAUCUAAGACAGGUGCAGACACUCGAGGUGCUGACAGAGUGCAUAGUGUCAAAUUGGCUGUUGACAGCCCAGGGCUGGGUGGUGGGGGAGGUGGGAGAGAGCAAGCCUUGCCAAACCCAGGACUAACUUCAUGAAGAAGUGGCUGCAACUCAAUCUCAUCUUCAUUCCUUCCUCCCUGAGUUGAUGCCAGCAAGACCGAAUGCUUCCUGGCAAAUACUCUAUAAGUAAACAAAUCAAACAUUCUGGAAAGCCUGUCUUUAUGCAUGGUUGCCAUUAUUGAGUGAAAUGGUAUGUUCUUUGCCUAUAGGAUCUGGAUGCCAUAGAAGCCCUCAUGCUUUACUUUGGUGAUGGCCAUGUUCCGAUUGUUCAAGAGAGCUCACGUUAAAAGCUUUAGGGACAUCACAUGGCCAAAUAGAGAAACUAACUUCCUAAACUGUCAGACCACAUUUCGUCAGCAUGUAUUGUUUUGAAAGAAUGGCAUAUUCAUUCCAAAAUUUAUAUUAGCAAAUUUAAAAAAAGUCUGUAGGCCCAGAAGAGGUUUAACCAGCUGACAAAUUUUUCAAGUAGCCUUGUUCGCAUUCCACAUGUUAGCUAGGUCUAAGUAUUUUUGUGUCAAGACAGCAGUAUACCUAGAAACUGCAAAUUCAAGCUGCCGAGAACUAAUUUGUAACAUAUGAUCUAUUGACUCGUGUUUUUAGCAUUUUUAUCUCGUAUUCUCACUUCAUCGCAAGCUUUGAAGGCAAAGACACACAUACAGUUAAGGCACACGUGUUUUAAACAUACGUGCAGUUCCCUUUGGACCCAAUAUUAGGGUGGUUGGAUUGUCUUCUCUAGAUCCCCACCUUAAAUUUGGUUUUCUGAGCUUAAAAACAAGCGUGCUUGAAUGGUCAGGCAGCAGCGGGGAUCACACGUACCGAGACCACGACAAAUCCACCGGAAUCAGGAAGUAGCAUUAAGGGGAAAGUCUGCACGCACUGAUGGCUGUGUGCUGAUGUUGAGUCUUUUAUUUAAUUGUCAUUGCCCUACGAUUGCGAACGAGCAGCUACUGAGUUGGAGUCUCGACCACAGACUUAGCAUAUCGAUGGGAGGCACGGAGAAACAGCUCUUACUUCCUCUCCAAAAUGCAAACUUGGCUGAGUUCUUGUCUUUGGCCAGAAGGUUCUGAGGUUUCACAAAGGUGAAAAAAUACAAAUGAUAACAUCAAAGUGCAAUUCGAGGAGAUUUUUAUCGAGGAGCACAAAUGGCUGCCCCUCUUGCCUGUAAGAAAAUCUUACAGUUCAGGCUUUUAUCAAUCCUCCUUCUGCCUCUUUUCUCUGAGCCACACAUGUGGGCUUUGCUGGCAAGGUGGACCUCUUUGCAGGGGGUGGGAACACCCUGGCUUUGGGAACAAUGAUGGAGGGCUUUCUCUCUUACUUUCCAUGUGGACUUCGAGUUCAUUGCUGCUCAUGGCACAGUUAGGCCUGAGUCCACAUCCAACUUUGGAGAAAGUCAGAGUCUGCAGGAGGUGGGAGCAGCAAAGCCCAGGAUGGGUUCCUAUGUGCAUCUGGGUUGUUGGGCACAGGUGCCCUGAAGCACUCAGGCCAGCCCCAUCCCACCGCUGGUUCGUAACCAUUGGGUCUCUAAACUCCUUCCAUGCUCAUUUUGUGUAUAUUUUGCAUGAGCUUCUGCCAUUUGGAACUUUAUUAAUUAAUACUUUUUUGAAACUUAAGUUUUGAACAUGUUCUUACCAUGGUAAAUUUCAUUCUGGGGUCCAGUUUGGAUCCUGUUCUAGUCGCUAGGAUAGUUUUGAACUAUCAUCAGUGGAUAAAGACUUACAAUAACAUGACUUCUCUCAUAGUAUCUCAUCUGACCUUCACAAGUCCUGGAACUUGUCAUCCACUAAUUUGAGAAGUGUGACUCUCAUUCUUUAUUCAAAUUACUGAUAAAAAUUUGAAACAGCAUAGCACCAAGGACAGAACCCUUUAGCCUGGCAUUUCCUGGAGAGCUUCCCUUGUAGGUUUGACGGGAAAAAAAAAAAAA